rnacentral:rRNA from 1 species
AUACGGAGGGUGCAAGCGUUACUCGGAAUCACUGGGCGUAAAGCGCGCGCAGGCGGCUAUUUAAGUUGGAUGUGAAAGCCUACGGCUCAACCGUAGAACUGCAUCCAAAACUAUUUAGCUAGAGUGUGGGAGAGGAAGAUGGAAUUAGUGGUGUAGGGGUAAAAUCCGUAGAGAUAACUAGGAAUACCAAAAGCGAAGGCGAUCUUCUGGAACAGUACUGACGCUGAGGCGCGAAAGCGUGGGGAGCAAACAGGAUUAGAAACCCUAGUAGUCC